GUCUGAGGCCAGCCUGGUCUACAGAGUGAGUUCUAGGACAGCCAAAGCUACACAGAGAAGCCCUGUCUCAAAAAGAGAAGAGACUCCUUUCCAGAAUAGGGUGUCUAAUGUCUAAUCUGGGAGAAAAGUUACUCAAGAUCAUUAGCCAACAGAGACAUGCAAAUUAGGAUUAGAAUAGUUUAUUUUCAACACACUUGCCAGCAUUAUUAAAAUGAAAGAGACAGACCAUGCUAAUACAUAAGAGGAUUGUAGAACAGCAGGACCUUUUAGAUGCUCCUGAAAUGAAGCGUAAAUAUCCAAAACCUUGGAAAACUGUCAGUAUCUAUAAAAGCUGAACAUUAACAUGUACAUAUACAUCUAUGCAUAUCCAGUAAAGCCACCCCUAGAGCUUAAAUUCUCAGUUGAACUGUAAGUAUACAAUAGAUGUUUGAUGGGGAAGCUCAGCCAAUCACAUCUGGCUAGGGUGUGGCUGCCUGGAGCCCGGGUAGAAAAACAGGGGUAGAUAGGUGUGUGCUCUCUCUAUGCGGUGCUUGCUGGACCAUUUUGGAUUUCGGAUCUUCCACUCUUGUAGCUUCUUCAAAUGUUUCAAAGCAGCUUAUUUCCCCUGGAGACUUCCAGAGGCCAGGGCCAUUCAGAACUUGUCUCACGGAACACCGGCUUUCUAAGAUGCUCCGUGUGAACGAAUGGUUCAGUGACCGUGCAAGCAGCGCCUCUAUUUCAUCUCGGAAACUCUCAUUUGAGGAUCUGAGAGCAGGUGGCAGUGAGAGCACGUAGCUAGGCUAAGAGAGGCGCCCCAAACCCGAAGAUCAGCGCUGGGAGCCUGCUCAUCUCCAAGGCGGAUUCCAGGACCUGGUACCUGCCAUCGCUCAAGCCCUCGGCAGAUCUUCUUCAAACUGAAGAUGGUGUUAUGAAGUACUCAGUCUUUCGAACAUGCUGUUCUGUAAUAAACGGGAGGAAGAUCUUUGCUUCUAAAAGCCACGUUCUUCUCAAUAGAUAACAGAGGACAAUCUCACUAUUUUAAGGCCCUGUCUCAGCACAGGGUCCCAGGACAGCUAAUGACGGAAACCUCUGAAAGUGUGAGUCAAAGGAGGCCUUUCAAUCUUCCCUCCCUGAACUUGUCUCUCUCUCAGGGACUUGUCACAGCAGCACCAUGCUAAAACAAGCACAAUGCUUCCGUGUAUUCACCUUAGAAUAAUUAGAAAAUACCGAUAAGCAGGAGGGAUGAAAAGAGCCUACCCCACAGACUGCCCCACCAUGUAGACAUGUAUGCCUGGAUUUCCUGAUUAAAAAGUGAGAACCUUCAUCUGGUGAUGGAUGGACAUAGAGACAGAGACCCACACUGGAGCACUGGACUGAGCUCCCAAGGUCCCAAUGAGGAGCAGAUGGAGGGAGAACACGAGCAAGGAUGUCAGGACCACGAGGGGUGCACCCACCCACUGAGACAGUGGGGCUGAUCUAUUGGGAGUUCACCAAGGCCAGCUGGACUGUGACUGAAAAAGCAUGGGAUAAAACUGGACUCUCUGAUCAUGGCGAACAAUGAGGGCUGAUGAGAAGCCAAGGACAAUGGCACGGGGUUUUGAUCCUACUUCAUGCUCUGGCUUGGUGGGAGCCUAGCCAGUUUGGAUGUUCACCUUCCUAGACAUGGACGGAGGGGGGAGGACCUUGGACUUUCCACAGGGCAGGGAACCCUGACUGCUCUUUGGA